rnacentral:rRNA from 1 species
UACGGGGGGAGCAAACGUUGUUCGGAAUCACUGGGCGUAAAGGGCGUGUAGGCGGCUGGAUAAGUGGGAUGUUAAAUCCCCCAGCUCAACCGGGGACCUGCAUCUCAUACUGUUCAGCUCGAGCACAUCAGAGGAGACUGGAAUUCCCGGUGUAGCGGUGAAAUGCGUAGAUAUCGUGAGGAAGACCAGUGGCGAAGGCGGGUCUCUGGACAGUUCCUGACGCUGAGGCGCGAAGGCCAGGGGAGCAAACGGG